rnacentral:rRNA from 1 species
GACGAACGCUGGCGGCGUGCUUAACACAUGCAAGUCGAACGGAAAGGCCUGCUUUCCCUUGUGGAUUGCGGGUACUCGAGUGGCGAACGGGUGAGUAACACGUGAGUGAUCUGCCCCCAACUUGGGUAUAAGCCUGGGAAACUGGGUCUAAUUCCCGAUAGGACUGCAGGGUGGUGCCUGUGGUGGAAAACGAUUUUCUAGUGGUUGGGGAUGAGCUCGCGGCCUAUCAGCUUGUUGGUGGGGUAAUGGCCUACCAAGGCGGCGACGGGUAGCCGGCCUGAGAGGGUGGACGGCCACAUUGGGACUGAGAUACGGCCCAGACUCCUACGGGAGGCAGCAGUGGGGAAUAUGGCACAAUGGGCGGAAGCCUGAUGCAGCGACGCCGCGGGGGGGAUGACGGCCUUCGGGUUGUAAACUCCUUUCGACCGCGAGGAAGCCACCUGGUUGGAAGGGUGGUGACGGUAGUGGGAGAAGAAGCACCGGCUAACUACGUG